UACCAGCACCCCGAGUGGUCGGGACGAUUAUUGGGCCUAAAGCAUCCGUAGCCGGUUUUACAAGUCCCCCGUUAAAUCCAGCUGCUUAACAGAUGGGCUGCGGAGGAUACUAUAAGACUAGGAGGCAGGAGAGGCAAGCGGUACUCAGUGGGUAGGGGUAAAAUCCGUUGAUCCAUUGAAGACCACCAGUGGCGAAGGCGGCUUGCCAGAAUGCGCUCGACGGUGAGGGAUGAAAGCUGGGGGAGCGAUCCGG
rnacentral:rRNA from 1 species